rnacentral:rRNA from 1 species
AGCAGUAGGUGAAUCUUCGGCAAUGGGCGAAAGCCUGACCGAGCAACGCCGCGUGAACGAAGAAAUACUUCGGUAUGUAAAGUUCUUUUAUAAGGGAAGAAAAGACAGAUUGACGGUACCUUAUGAAUAAGCUCCGGCUAACUACGUGCCAGCAGCCGCGGUAAUACGUAGGGAGCGAGCGUUAUCCGGAUUUAUUGGGCGUAAAGGGUGCGUAGAUGGCACAUUAAGUUUCUUGCUAAAAUGCUGGGCUCAACCCAGUAGUGCAAGGGAUACUGAUGAGCUAGAGUAUGGAAGAGGCAAGUGGAACUCCAUGUGUAGCGGUGAAAU